rnacentral:rRNA from 1 species
GGAAUUAUUGGGCGUAAAGAGCUCGUAGGCGGGUUGUCGCGUCUGCCGUGAAAGUCCGGGGCUCAACUCCGGAUCUGCGGUGGGUACGGGCAGACUAGAGUGAUGUAGGGGAGACUGGAAUUCCUGGUGUAGCGGUGAAAUGCGCAGAUAUCAGGAGGAACACCGAUGGCGAAGGCAGGUCUCUGGGCAUUAACUGACGCUGAGGAGCGAAAGCAUGGGGAGCGAACAGGAUUAGAUACCCUGGUAGUCCAUGCCGUAAACGUUGGGCACUAGGUGUGGGGGACAUUCCACGUUUUCCGCGCCGUAGCUAACGCAUUAAGUGCCCCGCCUGGGGAGUACGGCCGCAAGGCUAAAACUCAAAGGAAUUGACGGGGGCCCGCACAAGCGGCGGAGCAUGCGGAUUAAUUCGAUGCAACGCGAAGAACCUUACCAAGGCUUGACAUGAACCGGAAAGAUCUGGAAACAGGUCCCCCACUUGUGGUCGGUUUACAGGUGGUGCAUGGUUGUCGUCAGCUCGUGUCGUGAGAUGUUGGGUUAAGUCCCGCAACGAGCGCAACCCUCGUUCUAUGUUGCCAGCACGUGAUGGUGGGGACUCAUAGGAGACUGCCGGGGUCAACUCGGAGGAAGGUGGGGACGACGUCAAAUCAUCAUGCCCCUUAUGUCUUGGGCUUCACGCAUGCUACAAUGGCCGGUACAAAGGGUUGCGAUACUGUGAGGUGGAGCUAAUCCCAAAAAGCCGGUCUCAGUUCGGAUUGGGGUCUGCAACUCGACCCCAUGAAGUCGGAGUCGCUAGUAAUCGCAGAUCAGCAACGCUGCGGUGAAUACGUUCCCGGGCCUUGUACACACCGCCCGUCAAGUCACGAAAGUUGGUAACACCCGAAGCCGGUGGCCUAACCCCUUGUGGGAGGGAGCGUAGUUGUGCGUAACGUUACC